rnacentral:rRNA from 1 species
UGGGGAAUAUUGCACAAUGGGCGCAAGCCUGAUGCAGCCAUGCCGCGUGUAUGAAGAAGGCCUUCGGGUUGUAAAGUACUUUCAGCGGGGAGGAAGGGAGUAAAGUUAAUACCUUUGCUCAUUGACGUUACCCGCAGAAGAAGCACCGGCUAACUCCGUGCCAGCAGCCGCGGUAAUACGGAGGGUGCAAGCGUUAAUCGGAAUUACUGGGCGUAAAGCGCACGCAGGCGGUUUGUUAAGUCAGAUGUGAAAUCCCCGGGCUCAACCUGGGAUCUGCAUCUGAUACUGGCAAGCUUGAGUCUCGUAGAGGGGGGUAGAAUUCCAGGUGUAGCGGUGAAAUGCGUAGAGAUCUGGAGGAAUACCGGUGGCGAAGGCGGCCCCCUGGACGAAGACUGACGCUCAGGUGCGAAAGCGUGGGGAGCAAACAGG